rnacentral:lncRNA from 1 species
AUGGCUGCCCUGCGCGUCCUGCUGCCCCUCGUCCGCGGCCCGCUGCGCCCCCAGCCCCGCUGCGCCGCCCUGCGCCGCUUCGCCUCCGGUGAGCGGGGGGCUGAGGCCGCUGGGGGCCGACGCCGCCGCCGCGCCCCCGCCCCGGACCCCACCCCUCCGCCGGCCGGACCCCCGACCUCACCCCUCCUCCACCCUGAACCCCCCCACCUCACCCCUCCUCCACCGCGACCCCCGACCUCACCCCUCCUCCACCCCGACCCCCCGACCUCACCUCUCCUCCACCCCGACCCCCGACCUCACCCCUCCUCCGGCCAGACCCCCGACCUCACCCCUCCUCCACCCCGACCCCCCGACCUCACCCCUCCUCCACCGCGACCCCCGGCCUCACCCCUCCUCCACCGCGACCCCCGGCCUCACCCCUCCUCCACCGCGACCCCCCGACCUCAUCCCUCCUCCUGCCGGACCCCCGACCUCACCCCUCCUCCGGCCAGACCCCCGACCUCACCCCUCCUCCACCCUGAACCCCCCCACCUCACCCCUCCUCCACCCCGACCCCCGACCUCACCCCUCCUCCACCCCGACCCGGACCUCACCUCUCCUCCUGCCGGACCCCCCGACCUCACCCCUCCUCCACCGCGACCCCCCCGACCUCAUCCCUCCUCCUGCCGGACCCCCGACCUCACCCCUCCGACCCCCCGACCUCACCCCUCCUCCGGCCAGACCCCCCGACCUCACCCCUCCUCCACCCCAACCCCUGGACCUCGCCCUCCUCCACUCCGACCCCCAGGACCUCACCCCUUUCUCCACCCCGACCCCCGGACCCCCCGGACAUCGCCCCUCCUCCUGCCGGACCCGGGACCUCGCCCCUCCUCCACCCCCACCCCUGGACCUCACUCCUCCUCCACCGCCCCCACCUCGCCCUCCUCCAGCCCGAGCCCAUCAGCGCCCAGGCUCCUCCCAGGGCCCGCCCCGCCCCUCUGCUGUCCCGCUGGGCACCCCUGCCAGCACCUGCUGCCUCACUCUGCCAAGCUCUGGGGACUCACAACCAAGUGCUAG